CUUGUAGGCGGUUUGUCGCGUCUGCUGUGAAAAUCCGGGGCUCAACCCCGGACUUGCAGUGGGUGCGGGCAGGCUAGAGUGUGGUAGGGGAGACUGGAAUUCCUGGUGUAGCGGUGGAAUGCGCAGAUAUCAGGAGGAACACCGAUGGCGAAGGCAGGUCUCUGGGCCAUUACUGACGCUGAGGAGCGAAAAGCAAUGGGAAGCGAACA
rnacentral:rRNA from 1 species